rnacentral:rRNA from 1 species
GUCCACGCCCUAAACGAUGUCAACUGGUUGUUGGGAGGGUUUCUUCUCAGUAACGUAGCUAACGCGUGAAGUUGACCGCCUGGGGAGUACGGCCGCAAGGUUGAAACUCAAAGGAAUUGACGGGGACCGCACAAGCGGUGGAUGAUGUGGUUUAAUUCGACGCAACGCGAAAAACCUUAACCUACCCUUGACAUGUCUGGAAUCCUGUAGAGAUGCGGGAGUGCUCGAAAGAGAGCCAGAACACAGGUGCUGCAUGGCCGUCGU